rnacentral:lncRNA from 1 species
GGUAACUGUUAGAACCAUCAUUUCUAUUCACACUUUGGCUAGUAAAAAAUACCGCACCUGCUAACUGUGUAAUAGUGACGUAACAGUUGUUUGGCCCCUAGAUUGUGUAAUAAUGACAUGGUACCCAUCAAGAUAAGGGCAGAACUACACAUUUUCUAGUCGGCCUUGUACACUUCGCUUUCCUUGCUCUCCUGUGUCGCCAACUCCGAUUCUGAAGAGUGAUAUGCCACUAUUGCAGAAAGGUAGCAUCAGACUGCAAAGGAUUCACACUUUGGAAAUCAGUGAAGAAAUAUACAGUUCCCCCAGCAUAUCCAAAAGCUCUUUCAGCAGAAACACUCAUGAUAUGAACCACGGCGAGCUGUCAGUCACAGCUGACAUUCCUCGUGACUUCAUAUUUCAGCAGAAGCUAGUUUUUCAUAUUUUGGCCGUUGCUCUCGAAGAAGGCACAAAAUGCUAUAGUAUAAUACCAACAUUCAAUGUGUUAGAUUGAGCAAUCGCAAUCACGCACAUUCAAGCUUCUGCACCAGGGGAAAGGGGAAGCUCAGCAUCACCACUCAGACACAGAAUACUGUUAGGGCAUGGAACAGAUGAAACGUCCCUUUUCCAAAAUACUUUGAUGGAUCGAAGUGUCAAAUGGUUAGAUCAAUCACUUGGAAUUUCAUAGAUCCUUGGCUUGGAACAUACAUGGAUUACUUCAAUGACUGGAACGUUGGGACUGUGGAGUUGAUGGGUAGGACAACUCAGAUUGCUCACCACUCCGCAAUUUGGAACCAUCACUGUGCGGGAGACAAGUAAAUUAGGACCGAGGCAAAUUUAAGACCCAAGCAAAGACCUGUUGCUUUAGGGGCAACAUGCUUCAAAACUGAUUUAAAACAUCCAAGUGUGUUGAUAUUGGAUGUCACCUGUGAUGCUUCAGAUUGUUGGCCAUGCUCCAGCUGCAUCUUCCUUGCAUCCUGAAGAGAUACAGAAAUGCUCAGAGACGACACAGUUGGCAAAUGAAACUUAACAUGUUUAAAUACCAAGUUAGUUGUGCCACACUUUCCUCCAGAAGACAAUGGCAAAUAUUCAAUAUUGAUUCUAUUUUGUGAUGUCACAUAUCAUGAAUUACCAAAAAUAUAUGUCGAGAAAUAAGGCGAGCUGGAUUUUAUGACGUGUUGAUAUGUUUAAGGUACAGCAAGAGUGGACACAAAGCUGAACUUGGUAUUCACUAGUACUCCCUCCGUAAAGAAAUAUAAGAGCAUUUAGGGAGGGAGUACUAAAAUAUCUUCUGUAACAUAAUGGACAGUAGCCUGAAGUCCUGAAUUAGUCACACUGAUUUCAAAUAGUGUUGGGAACAUAAUGCAGAGCAACCAGAUUAGCACACCAACUCCUACCCUUCAUUUAGCAGAAUCAGCAGGAUAGCUA